ensembl:lncRNA
GCUCGAGCUGACAGGAUCAAUAUCAGACGGCACUUAGUAAAAACAAAGUACACAUGUAGUGUACGACCAUGUCCCGACUGUCUCCCUGUCAACAACGCCGGCUGUUGAGAACACACUCAGGACGCGCUCAGGACAGUUCGUACAUUGUGUGAAUCAGAGCACUUAAACCAGCCGGAGAGUCGAGCGUGAAGAGAAAGCAGGAGAUUUAGCCGGAGUUCAGGUCACAGCAAGGAGUGAGAAGAGGAUAAAAGACUACGGAACAAAGUGUGUGUCUGCAAACAGCUCUACAUUUCCUCCACAAACUUAAACGGCUGCCCAGAUGCGGAUUUUAAAGAGAUGCUGAAGCUUUCGAAAAAAGACCAAAUUGCUAAAUUUAUGUUUGCAGAAGUGUUACC